GCUUAAGUUACCUGUCUCUCAAGUUGCAACGCCUGGUGAAUGAUCUACCUGUGCAGUUCCAUGAAUCUAAGUCCUCUGCCCCUCUAUUGACCGAGUGCCUGUGUGUUUUAUAAAGUUGUUGGAAUGGCUGUUUUUGUGGUGUAGGGAGCUGGGCUUGGAUGAGCUGCUAAGGCACUGUGAGCAUGUGGUGGAGAAGCUGCGCUACCCUGAGAAUGACUUGUGCUAUCAGACAAUGGCCGGGACGGCCCUCUUCACCCACACAGCUUUCAAUAUGCUGCAGAACUACAGCAGAUAGCUUUUAAUCUGUUCAGUUAACAAAAAGAGAAGCUCCAGACGUACAGAAUCGAGAUCGCUAAAGAUGCGAGGAAUGCUGAGACGUUAACAUCUGAAUUUGAGGCAUCCAUCUAUACACCUGCCAUGGCCGCUGUGCUGAGGAUGUGAUCCACACGUUAGCUGACACUCUGCUUCCUGGUGAUGCCCAGACCAGGGAAGAGUGGGUGCAGGAUCCGGACAGACUGAAGGAGAACAUCCACUCUGCUGUAGAGCGCCCUCAUCAGACCCUCGGAGCAGUCGCCGACUUCGAACACUACUACAACAAUGCCAAUAGCUGGUACAGCAUCGUCCUGUGUGAGAACUUUCUCCAAGACCUUCUGUGGGGUGUGAACUGUGACAGCCUCCCCAAAUGGUACCACCCGCUGAAGAUGCAUGGCCCUGACCCUGUGUGGAGGCAGGCGGUCUAUGACUUCCUGAGAAGGAACCCCUCCCCAGACAUGGAGGAGCUGGUCCAGCUGGCUCACCUGGCCAAUGUCAGCCCUGACGCCCAGCUCUAGCAGAAGGGCAAACAGCUGUCACAAAGGUGCAUGACCCUGCGAAAACUCCUGACUUCUCCAGGGGCAGUACCUAUCAACAACUUCCAGUUGGCACUGCAGUGGCAGUAUGAGUUUCUGAGAGCCCGCCACAGGAAAGGGCCUGAGCCACACACUAACCUGGGUGUGGGCGGAGGCCCCGAGGCCUUUAACAGUCCAGACGGGGCAUUAUGUAGUCUCCAUAAAACCUCUGGUUCCAGAUCAGACUGAUAACCUGCACAGCCAUGGCUCCCUCUCUAACCUCAAACACCAAGUCCUUCUAGGUACGUCCCCCUCCAGUGCUAUCUCUGGGGCUGUGUCAGCUGUGGGGAAUACUCGCUCUCUCAGCUCCUCUGACUCUGGCUUUGAUGGAGCAGGAAGCAGCCAUGUGGAGACUGGGGCAAGGAGGGAGGGCUGGGAAGGGCUGUCCACGGUACCAACCACCAGGCAGCCCCAGAUCCACGAGGAGAACAUCUCCAGUGUGUCUGACUCGGGAGGACUGUAGGGAGGAGUUUGACUUUGUUUCUGUGGGCAACACCUCCAGGGCCAGCAUUCAGAUUAUCCCUAAAAUAACGGUGGACUCGCUAGAUUUUGAGAUCAAACUGAAGCAGUCGGCUACCCUGCCCCAGAACCCCUGGCUCAGUCUGCCUGUGGAUGACCUGGAGAACUCUUACACGGUCACCAUCACCCAGAACCCUUCACCACAUCAACAAGACAUCAGGAGCCCAAACCCCUCAGAGUGCUCGCACCACACCGACCAAUUAUCCAAUCGGUCUCGAGACCAGCCCACACAGACGGAGGUACACACCAGUCCUCAGAGCAGAGGGGGACAGUAUCCUACAGGCACAGGACAGCUUUGAAGAGUCAGAACUGAGCCCCACUUGUAAUUCCCUCUCCAGCACCAUCACAGAUGCAGGAGACGUGCCCAACUACACUGAAGAGAGCAUUCCCACUCUUCCCUGGGAUACGUAUGACUUCCAUAACCCCAAACGGGACACCUGUGAAAGGAUUACAAGCUCCAUGUGUAAUGGAUCUCAUCCUCCUCUUCUGAGGAGGAGUAGCGAGAAGGAUCGGAGGACCAAUGCACAGCGUGGUGGAAGAGAAUGUGAUGGCACAGGAGCAGAUGUGGAAUGUUCUUCUGAAUACUCGGAGCUCAAGCAAAGUGUGGGCGUCAUGGGGCAGUGAGGAGCAGAAAAGUUUGAUGUCCUCCAGUGAUUUAAAAGUGGCGGGUGUCCUGGGUCUUGAUGACAGUCUUGACUCUGCCGACACUGACAACCAUUGUGAAUGCCGGUCAUCAGAGGCAGCCAGUGAAACUGAGGCAUCAGAAUGCAGCAUGAGCCACAAUGGAUGGCCAAUGGAGAACGGGCCGACGGGGUUGAGGCCCCCUCAAACCAACAGGGGACAGUUCCUGAAGGAGCUUAAAGGACUGCACGUUCUCGAUGAGCUCAUCAUGGAGGAGAACCUCAAGAUCCACAAGUUCAGACAAGCUGAGAAUGAGAGCCUUGAUGAAAAGCCCCCUCAAUCGGCGGGCUCCCGAAGUACGUGCAAGGAGAGGCAGGCGUUUCUAUUCGAACUAGAAAGAGAGAAAAGGGAAGUAGAGAGGAUGGAAAAGAACCCAGCUAAAGAGAUGACUAAAAGAUGUCAACUCACAAAGAGGAUAAGCAGAACCAAGAAAGUAGUGAAAUGCUCUAUAAUGGACAGGACUUCUAAACUGAAUAACUUGGAGGUUGGUGCUCUCUGCGAUGAUCUUAUAUCAGACCAUAGAACCUUUUCUACCAUAAUGCCUGUAUCACAAGACUUUGUUCAAAGUGUAAAUGGUCAGUCUCCACAUGCGGACUCUAGUAUAUCUGGCUGUGGUGAUGCCGUGGUAGAAGUAGAUGCUCCCAGCCACAGUGAGUUUAUGGAGCCCAGAGCAUCACAACCAGUCUUAACUCCACCACAAAGCUAUUCUGAUCCCAGUUAAUUUAUUGAAGAGGUUGGAAUCAGAUGAUGAGGAAGGCUUAGAUUUCAGAUUGGUGUACAACUUGCAAUUUCCCCAAGAGGCCACCUUGACACCUGAAAUGUGCCCAGAACAUGGAGUAUUUGACCCGAGUUGGAAUUAUAACAACCCCCCAGUGCCUGAACCAAGAAAGGCAUCACUUCCUGUGAAUGACAAAGGGCUAGACUCAACAUCUCAAUGGAAACCAUAUUAUUAUAUAUUUAGUAUUUAACCCUCUGCCCUGAUAGUGAUUCAGACCCUGACCCUAGACUCGCACCAGAAGUCAUGCCAGAGUUCAGCACUCAUCCGAAGCCUAAAGGGCGAAGCCUCAAACCUGUGAAGGACCACAGCAAUAUCCACAACAACAAACCCCUCACAGCUCAACAGGCAUCAUUACGCAAUAACCCUUUGGAGUCCUGUGAUCAGUCCUCUCUAGACAAUUCCUCUGUUGAAUCAACAUUAACACCUGUUGACUCUGCAGGUGUUCAGAUAAAAAUCCAGACAGAAAUCCAACCUCUCCCAGAAAUCUGAGGAUAUUUCAAUGGCACAUUCUGGGUUUAAUUCUGAAGAUGUAUGUUUGCUGAAGUGAUAUCUGGAUCAUGUGAACCAAGCGGAGCUGAUGAGUGGAGAGAAGUAGAGCCCUGAUGGGUUUCAGAGGUGUAGGACUGCAAGGAGGGCCAUCUCUAGGUCACCUGUCAAUCAACCCAAUGUCCAAAUAACCACCAGAGACAUGACCAAUUUCAAUACUCCAAUAGUGCUGGACACAGGAUCUGGUUUGAGAAAAAGAAGGGUUUGCUGAUCAGGACCUCCCAAAUACUAUAUUUCCAAAUAUCAUUGUGCUGCCUAAAUAUGAGGUAAUUGUAUGAGCAAAGUAUUUGGUGUUUGUCCUUGGUCAUGUGGCUAUUCAUCUGCUAGGCCACCACCAUACGUUUCCCAACAUGGAGACUGGCUUUCUGAAAUAAUGAAUGGCAACUUUGAACGGGAGACUUUCAUUGGACAUGAGGCUCAACACAUGAGAGGAGUCCUGGUACUGAAGUAUCCCAUGAAAAAACGGAAUUAUAAGCAACUGGGAGGAAAUGGAGAAGGGUUGUCUACUGUUGACAUAAUUCUAUCCCAUUGAUGUUCUGAUGAAGCUGUAGUACCUGGCGGUUAUAGGAUUUAAACCUCACUGGUCUCGCUUCAGAUUUGGCACCACACGUUCCAGCAAGCUGCAGGUCGAUCCAGACGACCACCCUGUCCUAUUGACCGAGGCAGCCAUGAACCCGCUGGAGAACCGCCAGCGCAUGAUGGAACUUAUGUUUGACUGCUUUAACGUUCCCCUCGCCUAUGUGGCCAUGCAGGCAGUACUGGCGCUCUACGCAGCAGGGAGGUCCACAGGUAAACUAACUUUUAUCUACUCCUGUGUGAAUCUAAGUGUGCGUUCUCUAAUUCUCUCCUUCUCUCUUUCUUUCUCUCUCUCGGAGGACCUGAGCCCUAGGACCAUGCCCCAGGACUACCUGACAUGAUGACUCCUUGCUGUCCCCAGUCCACCUGGCCAUGCUGCUGUUCCAGUUUCAACUGACCUGAGCCCUAGGACCAUGCCCCAGGACUACCUGACAUGAUGACUCCUUGCUGUCCCCAGUCUACCUGGCCAUGCUGCUGCUCCAGUUUCAACUUCCACCUGACUGUGCUGCUGCUCUAGUUUCAACUGUUCUGCCUUAUUAUUAUUCGACCAUGCUGGUCAUUUAUGAACAUUGAACAUCUUGACCAUGUUCUGUUAUAAUCUCCACCCGGCACAGCCAGAAGAGGACUGGCCACCCCACAUAGCCUGGUUCCUCUCUAGGUUUCUUCCUAGGUGUAGUGUUUGACUCUGGGGAUGGAGUGAGUCAUAGGGUGCCAGUGUUUGAGGGAUACUGUCUACCUCACGCAGUGGCUGGCCUUGAUGUUACAAUGCACCUUAAAAUGCUUCUGCAGGAGCAGGGGGUGUGCAUGCACACUUUUACCGAGAUGGAGAUUGUGAGAGAGAUAAAGGAGAAAUGCUGCCAGGUGGCCCGGGACUAUGAAUCGGAGUUAACCUGUGGGCUGUCGGCUAGCAGUGAUGUAUUACAUCAUGCCUGAUGGACAGGUCGUCCACCUCAGCACAGAGCGGUUCAGCAUGCAGGACUCAUCUGAAGCCUCAAACCUGUGAAGGACCACAGCAAUAUCCACAACAACAAACCCCGCACAGCUCAACAGGCAUCAUUACGCAAUAACCCUUUGGAGUCCCGUGAACAAAUUCUUAUUUUCAAUGACGGCCUAGGAACAGUGGGUUAACUGCCUGUUCAGGGGCAGAACGACAGAUUUGUACCUUGUCAGCUCGGGGAUUCAAACUUGCAACCUUUCGGUUACUAGUCCAACGCUCUAACCACUAGGCUACCCUGCCGCCAUGUGAUCUUAAUCUCAGGUCUUAAGUGGAAGUCCGUAAUCAACCCCUGUGAAAUGGAAAGGCCUUAUCCAAGGGCUAAAAUAUGGAGACCGAUGAAUACUCAGCUCAUUGACGUUAGUUCUUGUUCAGAGGUUGAGUUGAAGUUUCAGCGUCUCCUUUUUGAACUGUACAUUCCAUGCUUGAGAUUUGCUACCUUCAUCUAGACCAUGUAAUAUCUGUUUUUAUAAUAAAUAUUUUUAUCAAAAUGUA